rnacentral:rRNA from 1 species
AUACGGAGGGCCCAAGCGUUAUCCGGAAUCAUUGGGUUUAAAGGGUGCGCAGGCGGUUUAUUAAGUCAGUGGUGAAAUCUCGGGGCUCAACCUCGAAACUGCCAUUGAUACUGAUAAACUUGAGUUCAGUUGGAGUAGGCGGAAUGUGUAGUGUAGCGGUGAAAUGCUUAGAUAUUACACAGAACACCGAUAGCGAAGGCAGCUUACUAAACUGAUACUGACGCUGAGGCACGAAAGCGUGGGGAGCGAACAGGAUUAGAAACCCUAGUAGUCC